CUGGGCAUUAAAAAAAAAGAAGAAAAGAGAGAGAGAGAGAGAGAGAAAGAGCGUUGUUGAUGUGGUUGUGGUGGUUGGGAGAAACUAGAAGGAAAGCAGAGGAACUGAAAUAGACCGUGAUAAUAAUGAUGAGGAGCGGAGGA